UUCAAGACAAGAUCAAGCAACAAAUAGUGAUGAUGAAGGCUGAUGAGAUAGAUACUACAAUUUUGUAGCAUUGACUAGUAACUUGAGCUAGGUAUUUUGAUAUUACAUAUGGCAGUGAUGGUAUUUAAAAGGUAAGGGAAAUGAGCCCGUAGGGCACUAGGCAAGAAAGAGGUGACCAUCUAUUUUUGGUGUAAAUAUGUUUUGGUGUACAAAGAGAUCUUAGAGGAGAUCUGAAGAAUAGCUGUAUAAACCUUUUGAUAUGUAUGUAAAAUUCAAAAGUUUUAGUAGAGCUCUGUAUUUGUUUUAACUAUGUUGAUGUUCAGUAAGGUAUGUUACAUGCUUUCUAUUAUUCAAUGUGAAGUUUGAUAUGUUGAAGUCCUCUUUUAUACUCCAGUUUAAAUGUUAGAGGGUGAGCAAACUGGGGUGUGACAAAAGAGACCCCAUAAAUAUGAUAUAUGCAUAGCAGGUGGACAAAAUGGACCCCUAAAGAGGGAAAAGGGACCUCUUUGUAAUUCAAUAGUGAUAAUGUCAGGUUUACUUGGACUCCAUUGAAUAUUUUUAUGAAAGUAUAGUCAAAUUUUUUAAAGACUAAAAUUGAUAUGGUGGAUGCUUUCUUUCGGAUGAUCCACCAUCAUUUCAAUUGAUUUAACAUUCUACAUUAUGCGGAUCUACUGGCGUAUAUUCUCUGGCAAGAGAAGAUUCUAUCACAAACUUUCCUAUCUUUGAUUUUUCAUCCACCGCAUUAUUUUUAUGAGUCAUUAAUGCGGUUGGAGUGGGAACCAUCUUAGGCCGCCAAACUCUCUCCCUAUCAAAUACAGAGGGUGACUGAUUUGUGAACUUCAAUCUCCUCCUAUUGAAAUAAGAAGAUGAUUCGUUACCUAGAGAAUGGUGUCGAUCAACCCUGGACGAAUGCUGACUUGAAGUAUAACCUGAAGUUCUCACUGGAAGAUUCCUAAACUGAUGCGAAGAUGGGGGAGAUGGGAUUAUACCCUCAGCAGGUUAAUGCACCUUAUCCUAAAGAUCUAAUAAGAGUUGAUUAUGCUCGUGAACUGAUUCUACAUGUUGAUCAUGAUUUGGAAACUUCUUUGGUUCCCUACGUUAAUCUAUAAAAGCAGCUGGUCGACUUGGACCUGAUUUCUGAAACUGCACUCUUCUCUUAGUGGCAGAGGAUGUUCCUCGUCUUCCAUAUGAGUCUGGUUGUACUCUAGUAGAAAUAACAUCCUUGACACUUCUCAGAAAUUCAGUCUUUGACUGCCCAUAAUCAGCCGUACAGUUGUGGAUUAAUCCGUUUAGAAGAGUUUUAAAUUUUCUCUUCCUUUCAGAUAGAGAAGGUAGAGCAAGGUCUCUACAAAAUGGAGCAGGAGGCGAGUUUGGUAUCCUGACUAGAAUUUUCUCUUCAGCAGCAGCUAAUAGUGGGUGAAAUAUGCUCCCAGCUAGCUGAGGUGAAUUAACAUGUAGUACUCCAUAAUAUGUUCUCUUUGCUGCUUCAGUUGCAGUGACGAUCAAAGCAUCUUCUUUCUACUGUUCAGCUUUCUUUGCCAUUCGCCUCAUACGGAGAUUCAUAUUGUGAUGUUAAGAUUUAGUCAUCUCCUUCACUCCAAAAGAUGAUCCCAUCUCACAGUUCCUGAAUACGGGGAUUCCAGAAUUAACAACUGACUUUCCCUUAUUAAUGGCAACAGACCGAGAGAAAGUAAGACAGGAGAAAACCGAGGGCUUUAGUUGCUGCAGGAACAGCUAUACACCCACCCUCGAUGUUGAGAGUGCUAACUUGACAGAUUCAGUAGUUGCAACCACCUCAGCCUGUGGUGCAGUGAAUGUCACUUGUAGGUUCUCAAAAUUUGAUUCAGACUUGAUCUGGGUGCUCUCAACAAACUGGGCAGCGGUGAUGUUGAGGUUAAAGAUGAGUUUUCCAGACAUUUUAUUCGAUUUAACAAGAAAUCCAAAUCAAUUGGUGAAAUUAUUGAACCCAAACUGAAUGCUGAAUCAGCUUGGUUUCUAAGGUAAAUGCUAGAUAAUUGAUGGUUGGAAGAUGAAUGGAAAACCUAAGGACCCAAUCCAUAGAAAGGAUAUGAUCGUGAAGUACAUAUUUGGAAAAAAUGAUUGAUUGAAUACUGAAGUCGUAUUUGCUUAUCGAAGAGAGAAUUGAUUGAAAUAAGCUCUUAAAUAUAAUGCCUGAAAAUAAGCAACUUGCUUAUAUAACUAAUGGUAUUAUCGGUUUAGAAUCUAAUCUCUACAAAACAUGGAAAGUAAACCUUAUCCCUAGCGGAGUCGCCAAAAAAAUCUUGUGGACAAAUUAAACGUUGAAUCGUGACCACUCGAUUUAAUUUAAUAUUUCUUCAGAAAAUCCACCUAAUUAGUGUUAAUUACCUCAAAAAAUAAACUUUAGUUCUAAGCAUCCACAACCAGAACAUCCUUGGUUGCAAAUGGUUAUACAAAACCAAGUUCAACACUUGAUAAAGAGUUAUACAUGAAACAACCGCCAGGUUUUGAAGACACUCAACAUCCAACUCAUGUGAGUCGAUUGCACAAAUCCAUCUGUGGCCUAAAAAAAAACCACCCCGGCAGUGGUUCACCACCUUCUCCUUGCAACUACUACAAUACGGAUUCAGUGCAAGCAAGGCCGAGCCUUCACCAUGGACAUGUUUCCUUAUAUUUUUUAAUGUAUGUUGAUGAUGUUCUUCUUACGGGAAACAACCAUGCUGAGAUCGACAAACUACUCCAGCAUUUGAGCUCUACCUUCUGUCUGCAUAAUUUGGGCCCCGUGUCACUCUUCGAUGGCAUUCAGAUUACACACCAGCCCUAAGGUCUGCUACUUUCUCAAUACCGCUACAUUAUUGAUGUUCUUAGGAAAUCUGGCAUGAAGUCUUGUAAGCUAUUCUAAACUCUUCCCUCAAAAUUACUAGCCCCUGUCGAGAGCACUGAUCCCCUACAGCAGCCUGAAUUCUACAGACAAGUGCGCUUCAAUAUGUUACAAUUAUAAGACCAGACAUUGUUUUUGUUAAACUUCUUGUGUCAACAUUUCUACAAACCACAGCACAUACAUUUUCAAUAUCUGAAAAGUGUUCAGAUAUUUGAAUGGCACCAUCAAUUUAUGUACUACCCAUUACAAAAUCUGCACUUGAUCUCCAUGCUUAUGCAGAUUUAGAUUGGGCUGCAAAUCUCAUAGACCGGAAAUCAAUUUUUGGUUUUUGUACA